rnacentral:rRNA from 1 species
UACGUAGGGUGCAGGCGUUAAUCGGAAUUACUGGGCGUAAAGCGUGCGCAGGCGGUUUGCUAAGACAGGUGUGAAAUCCCCCGGGCUUAACCUGGGAACUGCGCUUGUUACUGGCAGGCUUGAGUGUGGCAGAGGGGGGUGGAAUUCCACGUGUAGCAGUGAAAUGCGUAGGGAUGUGGAGGAACACCGAUGGCGGAAGGCAGCCCCCUGGGCUAACACUGACGCUCAUGCACGAAAGCGUGGGGAG